rnacentral:sRNA from 1 species
CUAAUGUGUCAGUAUAAUAUUCUUUCAAUAGCAUUCAAAAUACUCACUACAAUAUAGACACAACAAAAUUUGCUCCGUUUUUUCUAUCAAUAUUUUUAAAUAUGGGAAGCGCCAAAGUAGUAAUUGUCCGCAGCACUAUUGUUAAAUCGCUUUUGGUCAAGAAUGGAAGUCAGGGCGUAAGCAUAGUCCGAAUGGUGAAGCUCAUCAAGCCCGUAAAGGAGUGUAUACCACUCUGAAGACUUCCAUAAAUAAAAUUGUGAUGAAAAUAAUAAAAUUGCAUGGUUAUGGCUGAAGUGCCUUAUAUAUUUCCAAUUUUAUAGCAUCAGAGAGAUCAUAUUCAAAUCAAGAAUAAUCAAUUUUUUAAGAGAAAUAAAAAGUAGGAAUCGUUAACCACUGUGCCUGGCACAACGACGAACAACUUCAUUCAGUUUCAGUUCACAUUAAUGCGGCGUGAAUUAAGUGUCAAGGACAUUUUUUGGUUUUGCUGCCAACGACGCAACAUGUUUCAGUCUCUGGUGCUCGCUGCCUCUACUGCCGGCAUGUCCUUGCCCCGCCAUCAGUGGGUGGUGUUAUGUUUGUCAUGUGUCCUUGCGUCUGUGUGUGUGUUUGUGCUUUGGGUGACCGAAAAUGCGUUGCAACAUUCAACUGGCGGGGACGCAA